UACGUAGGGGGCGAGCGUUGUCCGGAGUUACUGGGCGUAAAGGGCAUGCAGGCGGUCGGACGCGUUUCGGGUGACAGCGGGUGGCUUAACUACCCGAGUGGUCGAAAGACGGUUUGACUUGAGGACGCGAGAGGGACACGGAAUUCCUGGUGUAGCGGUGAAAUGCGCAGAUAUCAGGAGGAACACCGGUGGCGAAGGCGGGUCUCUGGGCCGAUACUGACGCUGAGGAGCGAAAGCGUGGGGAGCGAACAGG
rnacentral:rRNA from 1 species